AGGGCCUAGCUCUUCACUGCCUGCAGCAGGAGCUUGUACACCAGGUUCACAGCACCUACAUUACAGCCAAGUGAAUGCAGGUGUCUCAACCUGGUUCUGAGGCUGCCAGCCUAGGAAAAAAUCUGGAGCUAUUAAUCCACUGAAUGCCCGAGCUCUUUCUCACUUGUCCCUGUUGAGGCAUAGUCACACUGAAGUGGAGGGAGAUAUGAAUGUGAUUGAUGGUGGCCGAAGUCUGAAAAGAAGAAAAUUGUAAGGCAGAAUUGUCUCAGUCAAAAUGCCACUUUUGCCAAGGACCUCUUCAUUAUGGUGAGAGUUUGUGCAUGACUCACUUCAUUUUAUCAAGGUCACAUUACUGCAGGGGAUGAAGGUAAAGAGGGGAGACAGAGGUCACCAAGCAGAAGAAGGGAACUGUCGACAUGCAGGUGCUUAAAGAAAAGCUUGUUUGUGCUCUGCCACCAGGAUGAGAUGAGGGUGUAUCCUUUGGACUGCCAAGAUUCCCUGAAGUUCUCAUUAUGUCCAGCACCUAUUUCUACUGCAAAAACUGUUAUGAAGAUCUAUUUGAGGUUGUAUACUCUGACACUUUGCCAUUUUUUGGUCACUGGAACAAUGUUAAUAGCAGUAAACAAAAAUCAAUGGAGGACUGUGUUCUUGCACUGGACACAGGGAGGGAUGGAAAGACAAUGUGACAGGUUGAAAAUGGUGUAGACUUGAUUAUUCUUCCUUGCACUGGUGAGGUAAAACAGGCAGGUGAGUUCUGCACUGUCGCUCAACUGGACACCUGGGAUAUCAGCAGCCCAUAGCAGAAGAGGUUACAAUAAUUGAGACAUUGAAAACACACUUCUUGUGGCGGCUCUUGCCUCUUAACUUUGCUAGGCACAGUCCUGCAUCCAAGUGAUCUGUGGAAGAGGCACGUGUGGAAGCCAGCUAAAUCCCAAAUAAAAUGCCUAGCAUAAUGGCAUCUUCUAUGGACACUGCAAAGGGGCUGUUUUAACUAGGACAAGGAAGAAGAGAGGAAGUGGAGUUUGCUUAAUGGUUGGAUUUGAUUAUCUUUGAGGUAUUUUCCAACAUAAGUGAUUUUAUGAUUCUAUGAUUCUAAAUGCUUUGUGACUUCCUGACAUUUUAGCAGCAUUGCAGAGCCAGAAUCUCUUUGAAUCUCCAGGUCAAAUAUUGCUUGCUCUGAUCAGCUGGUGGCUAAGGCACUGUGGGGUGCUUUGUUAUACAAGAUGUAAAAGAAGUCAGUAGCAGUGGCUGCUGAAAUAAUUUAAAUCAAUCUUAGAACCCAAUGAUGCAGGAAAAGAUAUCCUCAAAUGUUUAUAUGACAAGUAAUAUUUUACCAGGGACAUUUCUACAGUUUGAAUCGCUCCAUUCCUGCAUUGUUCCCCACUAUUCACCAGAUCCAGCAUUUUAUUAUGGAAGUAUGUUGACUGCUGCACACCAGCAACAACUGAUGGCUGUUCCUUCUGCAAGCUGCUGAAAGAGGUGUCAAAUGGGGUAACAGCUCCUCCAGCAUCUGGAUGUCAGGGGUGAUGUGAGAAGGCAAGUCCUAAAUCUUCUUCUUUUUACAUCCAGACAUUGCUGAGAGAAAUGCCAGAACAAAGUCUGUUUUGCUCUGUAUUCACAGAUAUGUUUUGUCAUAAAAAGGCUCAAGGUUUUGAGGUCCUGGUCUUUGGCCAUGUGACAUUCCAAAGCUAGAGUGUACUUUGCCAGUACAAUGUUUUCUUCAUUUGUUUAAAAGGCAGGAGGCAAGCUUUUUAAAGGUAUUUUGCUUACAAUGAAAAUCCACUUUCUCCUAGUUUUUUUCUAUUCAUUGUGAUAAAAACCCUUACAGCUAUAAUGGGCAUUCUGUUUAGUAUUGAGGUGCCCUAUAAAUAAAUGUGCAGUUAAUGAUGUUCAUUUCAGUUCCUUUCACUAUGCAGAUAAAGUAUAUAUUAUUCAAAAAGCAAGUCAGCUUUCAUUAUGAUGACAUGAAUAAAAACACAAGGGAACACAUUGCUCUCCCA